rnacentral:lncRNA from 1 species
UGUGAAUUAGUUUUGUUUCAGCCCUUCUGAGGGGAUUUGAGCACUUUUUUUGGCCUAGAUUUUUUUAAGUUUUCUUCAUCUUUUAAAGUUUUAGUCUGCCAGUUUGUGAGGGGAUUGAGCCUGAAUUUCAGCCCUCAAAGAGAUAAAAAGAAUCAAAAUAACAAUAAUUUAUUAUUUUUAUCAAUUUCAGUGAUCAGAUUCGUGAAUUAGUUUUAUUUCAGCCCUUCUGAGGGGAUUUGGGCUUGGCCUGGAUUUUUAAAAUUUCCUGUGUGUUUUAAGGUGAAUUCUCCCAGUUUGUGAGGGGAAUGUGCCUGAAUCUCAGCCCUUGAAGAGGUAAAAAUAUUAAAAAUAGCAAUAAAUUAUUUUUUUUACCAAUUUCAGUGAUCAGAAUUGUGAAUUAGUUUUGGUUUAGCCCUUCUGAGAGGAUUGUGCUGCUUCAGCCACAGGCCAGGAAAAUGAUUUCUAUUUUCAAAGGAGAAAACAAAUGGAGCUCACAGGAAUAGAAUUCCUGAAUCUUCCCUCUCCCAGCUGUUAUCUCUUCAUUUUUCCAGGAAAAUUGUGCCAAUCCCUUCCCCUCAUCCCCUCCACUCCUGGAAACCGGGAAGAGAUGGGCAAAUAAAAGGGGAAUUUCUCCCAUUUUCCUCCUCUAUCAGGAAUUCUCUCCGCAGGAAAUAAAUAAUAAACCCAACCAAGCAGAGCCUUGGAGCCCCUGGAUUUUCCUCGCCGGGAGCUGAAGUUAAAAAUUAUUCAAAGGAGAAAUUCCUGGCCUGUGAAGCGGAGGCUCCGACUGUACCAGGCAAAGAUUUCCACCAGCAUUCCCUCUCUCGGCCAAGGCCGAGAUAACAGAGCAGGAAGAAAUCCCCACUUCCCAGAUUCCAUCGGCAGCUCCCAUUCCCACCUCGUUUUUCCUCGUUUUUCUCCUUUUGGGAUGAGGAUUUGGCCUCUUCUCCUUGGAAUUUGCCGGAGUUUAAAGGACAAAGAGGACAGGGCACCACAAGUCCACCUCUGGUUUUGCCACCGGUCGCUCGGAGCCGAUUUCCCCGCGAAAUCCUCGCGCUCCAAGGUCGCCUUUUCCAGGACGCGGAAGAGGAAAACUCUCCUGGCUCCUCAUCCUUCCAAGCUUUUCCUUCCCCACCUGGAGGCUGAUCUGGCUUUGGGAGAAGCUCCUUGUGCUUCCAGCACUGAAGUUUUUCCCUGGGUUUCGUGCUGGUCCUGGUAAGAUCCAAAGUAUCCAGGUACAGCGGGCAAAAGGGAUUUACGGAGCGCAAAAACAACUCCUCGAAGGCUUUCCCUGCUUUCCCAUAGAUAUUCCCUCUCUUCGCUUCACUUUCUCCGGGAUUUAACCCUCAUUUCUCUUCCUCCUUCUCCCCCCAGGUGGAUCCGAGAGGGUUUUGUUGGACAGAUCAGGUUUUGUGUGCUCUGAGUGCUGGGGGAGGGGAGGGCAGCGCAUGAAUCCAAACGUUCAUUUUACAACCAGUCAAACCAGUCAGGGCAGCUCCAAGCACAUCCAAGGGCUCGGGAAAGGAGGGAGUCGAAGGGGGAAAAGCUGCUCUCACCCAGGUGUCACAGAAAGCUGGGAAAGAAAAAGGAGGGUUUGGAAAAUCGGCUUAAAAUUUGAUUAAAAUCCAAAUAAAAUCGACACAAAACAAGCGUGAAAUUGGAAG